UACGAAGGGUGCAAGCGUUACUCGGAAUUACUGGGCGUAAAGCGUGCGUAGGUGGUUUGUUAAGUCUGUUGUGAAAGCCCCGGGCUCAACCUGGGAAUGGCAAUGGAUACUGGCAAGCUAGAGUGCGGUAGAGGGUAGUGGAAUUCCCGGUGUAGCGGUGAAAUGCGUAGAGAUCGGAAGGAACAUCAGUGGCGAAGGCGACUGUCUGGACAGAUACUGACGCUGAGGCGCGAAAGCGUGGGGAGCAAACAGG
rnacentral:rRNA from 1 species